CCGCAGGCUUGGUGGGGGCCGGUCGUGCUGUGGAAAGCAAAGUGAGUGAUUGGAUUAACAGUGAAAGACAGGUGAAGUCUCUGAAAGCAAAAUAUAAAAACAAGUACACGUCAGCUCUCGUAAAGAAAGAGAAAAAGGAGAGAAAAAAAAACUUUCGCACAGUGUUUUUGGCAGGGAAUGAGAAGCUGUGCCCCAAAGGAUACUCAGCGCCGUAUAAGGUAAAUGUCGACGGGGGUUCGAGACGGCUAGCUAGUUCGAGCCGUUUCGGAUAAGUUUCGGAUCGGUGCGGAUCGCCCGAGGCUUCGGAACAGUGAGUGAGUAGACCCGAGCCUUUUA